AGAAAAAAAGGGCAAACCUAUCGCAAGGUAGGGGCGCAAAGCUUAAGGUCUAAAGGUUUAAUUCUUUAAGAUUGCUGAGCUGCUAGA
rnacentral:ncRNA from 1 species